UAACUUUCUCCUGCGGAUCAAGAACGCGUCGUCUGUCCUUUUCAUCCCCCGCCGUUUACUCCUAACCUCACCGUCGCUGACUCGUCGACGACGGAUCUCUCUCUCUGUUCAAUCAAUUAUGAUCCGGUUGCCCUUUGAUAAAAUCCGCGAAUUAUUCACCGACGAGGAGAGCCGCCGGAUAAAGAAAUGAGCGAAAUUAGACGUCAUCGGUCCUCUCUUUUGUUCCUCCCUCCUCGCGUUCUGGCGAUCCGCCGGAGAUUGAUGUUGAUCGUGGCGCGGCAAGAGGAGGUUAAGUGACUGGUGAUCAUGGUGAUCGAGGAGGCCGUCGUGGUCGAGUUAGAGUGCUCUGCAGAGGGUUGUUCAUACAUGCUGGAUAGCGCAGCCAUGAGAUCCGCCGUCGAAUUCUGAUUCUUGAUGUUGAAACCUGAUUGCUCCAAGGGCCUUCCGAUCUAAUAGCUUCCACUCUGCAUCCUUCAUAUCGCUUGGCUUUUCUCCCAAUGAUCAAGUUUGCCGCGGCCUACAAUGCUUAGGAGGAAAUGGGUGUUUCGUUCAACCUGCAGUUUCCACUUCUCUAACCCCCGCAUGUUUCCUCUUUCCCCAUAACACCUAGGCAACUUAAUCUCUUGUUAUGGGGACCUACAUGGUGUUCAGGAGCUUGUGAUCAAUUUUGCAGAUUUUAAUUGAACCAUCUGGCCCAAUGCAGGGUGUCACAUUUUUUUCUUCAAAUGCUCAGACAGGAGGGUAAAAAGUUCUUCUUUGCACUAACCUUUGUUCAUCUUAACUGUAUCUGGCCUUCAUGUUAUACUAGGAUAAAGGGAUUGACAAGUUCUUUCUGUUUCUGCAGCAAGUUCAGUGACAGUAAGCUCUGCUAAUAAUUCAUAAAAACUUGAUUGAUUCCCCUCUGCUGCUCUGAAUCCUAAUUGAUCUCUUGCCAUUUGUAGCUUAUGUCCUUGCUUGGUUCCGUGAGCAUUGUGGACACGGUAACUUAGAGAUUCUCUCGAGACUCCUAAUUUCUUCUGAUAAUCCUUUUGUUUUCUUUUUAUUCUCAGAUGCAAAUCUCAGGAAAGAGCAAAGAAGAGAUUGACAGUAUAGGGGAUUUUUCCUGAGAUACGUGCUAUUGCCUUGAAGAGAGAUGAACUGGAACUGGAACUGGAAGCUUUAAUAAGUGGUUGUCUAGGCCUAUCAGUCUGAAAUUUUGGCAAGAUUAGUUGAAGAACACACAAGGAAAGCUGUAUGAGAUUGAUGACAUCAUGGUAAGAAUGCCAACAUAUUUCUACAGUUUGAUAUCGGCUUUGAUUUCUCAACCAAAAGGUGUGUGCAUGUUUCAUUAUGCAAGCUGCGUUGUACAUCAAGCUCGUCAAGGGAGGCAAUUUCUCAACACGGGGGGAAACCGUUAGAGAACGUACAAGGAAGUUGUUCUUUCUAGCCGUGGCCGGGAGAGUCAGGCAUCAAAAGCAAGAUCGGUUGCGGAGGAAAGUCGCAGUUUAUUGCUUCCGAGCACAUUCCCCUCCAAAUUGAACAUAGUCCAACUCCUGCGAUCGAACUCGUACGCUUACCAAAGAUCGUUUCCAGGACUGACCAGGGUAGAAAGUUAACUGAGCUGUACAGUGUUAUAGGUUUCUAGUUCGCAACCUGACAGUGACUAAGCUUGUCUUGACAAUUUGCCAUAGCUACAAUUACAAAAGAAAGCUUGUUAAGGAAGAGGAUGAGGUCUCAUUACUUUUCUGUUUUGGGUAGUGACGUUGCUGGUAAGUCAAAUUUGUCUGAGGGCUUCGGAUAUCAACUACCUGCAGCUACUUGAUAUUUUGUUA